ensembl:misc_RNA
UUGACAGCCCUGGAACCCAGUGCCUUCUGUUUAGCCACAGAACAAGUACAGAACAGGCAACAGCAGAGGAAGCUUCUUCUCUGCCCAUCCAACCAUCAGUGCUGGAUGUAAGAAGCCUCAUUGCAUUUAGCAGGAAUUGUGGUUCCUCACUAGGAGAAGGAAGAAGGAACACGUUCACCUCUUUAUUAUU